UACGUAGGGCGCAAGCGUUAUCUGGAAUUAUUGGGCGUAAAGAGCUCGUAGGCGGUUUGUCGCGUCUGCCGUGAAAGUCCGGGGCUCAACUCCGGAUCUGCGGUGGGUACGGGCAGACUAGAGUGAUGUAGGGGAGACUGGAAUUCCUGGUGUAGCGGUGAAAUGCGCAGAUAUCAGGAAGAACACCCGUGGCGAAGGCGGCUCUCUGGGACGAUACUGACGCUGAGACGCGAAAGCGUGGGGAGCGAACAGG
rnacentral:rRNA from 1 species